GCUGUGGGGUGGGUGUGUGUGUGUAAUAUGGGACUAAGCGGAGCUGCAGUCUGCCGCUGACAGUCACACUGCGAGUGUGUGCGUGCGCGCGCUUCUCUGACUCUUGAUACAUUAUAGCGAAACACAAGAUUUCAUCCGGACCUUCGUCUGAGUCUCUCAGUUUAAUAACAGGACGUCGUUCACGAGUGUGAAGAGCUUCAUCCGCGGGCGCGCUGGAUGAUGUGUUUGUAAAGUGCUGCACGUGGGUCCACAGCUUCAUUCAAGGAGAUAAACCGGAUGACUUUCUGGAUUCAUGUGGAUGUGGAUUCAUUCUUGCUUCAGUCUGUUUGGAUUCUAACGGCUCAGAUACGUGCUUUGUGAAUGUGACCAUGAUUAAAUGGUGUAUUUUUGGGAGAUUGCCGUGUCUCGCUCCAGUGGAGCUGCAUAUGACUUCUGGAAUAACUUAACAUGUGGAAUAAACUUACUUUAAAGGAUGAAGGAUUAACAGAAGUAAGAGAAGAAGCACAAACUCCUCAGAAGAAACAAACGCUCUGUGGGUCCACCCUGACUUCGCAUGGCUCUUCCUGAAGAAAGGAAAAAGCCCUGAUGUGCUUGUCACCCGAGCUGACGGCCGGGGCUGCGUGAUGGAGCCCGAAUGUCUUCACUUGGUCCCUCUUCAGACACUCAAUGGCCGCUCUGUUUCAGCCUGACGACGAGUCGAUUGGAUAUAAUCUUGAGAGCUGGACUCAGGAGAUCGGGAGGGAUAGGGAAACUCUACAGUAGGCUUUGCAGGGAAGGAUCAUCUUUCUCCAGAAGUAGGAAACGAGCAUCGGAGGGUUCCUGCUGCCAGUCGGCUCUCUCCUCCUGUUACGACACGGGACCAAAUUCAAACCAUGUGUCCUCGCACCCGGUUAGCUGAUUUUGCCCACCUCUAGCAUUUGCAGUCUGGACGGAUCCAUUUCACUGCCCCUCUCCUGUGCAGCGUUCUCAUUCUCCCAGCACCAAAUGAGCCUCUCCGUGGGACUCCUGGCUUAAUAGGCUGGAACUUUCCCAUGUCCGGUCUCCGAAGGUGGCUGUUAUCCUCUGAGUGCCUCUGUGCAAGGUUCAAGCUGGAGCUCAUGUUAUGGGGUAGUAUCUGAAGAGAGUCAUGGAUGAGUGUGACGGGAACACAGGGGAUUUGAGGAUUGGUGAGAGAUAUUUGGAGAUGGCCAUUUCAUAAGUGGAUUUAGACAUUUGCUACGGCUUUCCGUUGUGUGGGACAUCACGGCAUCUGCUGUUUCCUUUUACCAUUCUUUGACUGCAGAUACUGGAUUACCUGGACUGUUUUCUACUUUAUCAUUCUUUCCCUUCUGAUUGGUCAGUUCCAGUGAUGCUAAAAUGCACAAUAUAAUAACAGCUAUGAUGCUAAAACUCCUGUUGACCAUCCACACCCAUAGAGACCCUAUUAACUUUAGUUUAUGUGCCAGGGCUAGAUCUAGUUUUCAUGAAAAUUGUGGUAAUAUUUUAAUAUAGCACUGUCAUUUUUUUUUUUUUUAAGAUUUAAGGCACUUGAGGUUGUGUUAUAUUGCAAACAUUGAUGCUUGUGGCACUAUUUAGCCAAGAUGACUACGUGCACAAUUUAACACAAUUUAUUGCUGUAUUUUAUUAUUUAUUUUUUUUUUUUUUUUAUUCAUGGUUGUAUAACUUAUUUGAUUUAUAUAUAACUAAUUUAAAAAUGAUUUUUAUUUAUUUAGUUUUUAUUUUUUGCCUGAGAACAAAAAAUUAAGUGGAUUGAAAAAUUUGUCAUGAUGUUAAGAACUGUAAAAAUGACAUGCACGAUAAUUUAAAAGUUAAUAAAAAGAAACCUUUCAUAAUUAAA